rnacentral:tRNA from 1 species
UGCGGUUUGGUGUAACGGUAACACACUGCUCUCAUAAGGCAGAACAUUUCAGUUCGAAUCUGAAAGCCGCAA